GGGAAUUUAAAUAACAAUAAAAAGUUAAACAUUAAUGAUUUAGAACGCAAAAACAACAAUUUGAUAGUUAAUGGAAAGAAAGAUCAUGCAUUGACAUUUACUACGGCAAAAGAACUCCUCGAACAAUUCAAAUCGUGUUCACCUGUUUUAAUUAAAAACAGUAACACAGUAUCAGAAACAAUAGCUGUAAAUAAUAACGCAGUAAAACAUCUUAUUAAAGAUGAGAAAAAAGAAUUAAAAAGCAAAUUUACAGUAAAAAUACAAAGUAAUUUGUCAUUAAAGUUUGAACAGAAUCGACAACUCAAAGAAAAGGAGAAGAAAUGUUAACGUACGUAUUAUCAUCCUUGUAUUAAAUUUUGAAAAUAUUCUUAAAAAUUGUA